rnacentral:misc_RNA from 1 species
GAUGAAGAACGUAGCGAAAUGCGAUAAGUAAUGUGAAUUGCAGAAUUCAGUGAAUCAUCGAAUCUUUGAACGCACAUUGCGCCCGCUAGUAUUCUGGCGGGCAUGCCUGUCCGAGCGUCAUUUCAACCCUCAAGCCCCCGGGCUUGGUGUUGGGGAUCGGCGAGCUUCCGCGCCCGCCGUCCCCUAAAUCUAGUGGCGGUCUCGCUGUAGCUUCCUCUGCGUAGUAGCACACCUCGCACUGGGAAACAGCGCGGCCACGCCGUUAAACCCCCAACUUCUGAACGUUUGACCUCGGAUCAGGUAGGAAUACCCGCUGAACUUAAGCAUAUCAAUAAGCGGAGGA